UGCCCCAGUACGGCGAGUGAGCGGCAACAGCUCAAAUUUGAAAUCUGGCUCUCGGGCCCGAGUUGUAAUUUGUAGAGGAUGCUUUUGGUGAGGUGCCUUCCGAGUUCCCUGGAACGGGACGCCAUAGAGGGUGAGAGCCCCGUCUGGUUGGACGCCGAACCUCUGUAAAGCUCCUUCGACGAGUCGAGUAGUUUGGGAAUGCUGCUCUAAAUGGGAGGUAUAUGUCUUCUAAAGCUAAAUACCGGCCAGAGACCGAUAGCGCACAAGUAGAGUGAUCGAAAGAUGAAAAGAACUUUGAAAAGAGAGUUAAAAAGUACGUGAAAUUGUUGAAAGGGAAGCGCUUGUGACCAGACUUGGGCUUGGUUGAUCAUCCGGGGUUCUCCCCGGUGCACUCUUCCGGCCCAGGCCAGCAUCAGUUCGCCCUGGGGGACAAAGGCUUCGGGAACGUGGCUCUCUCCGGGGAGUGUUAUAGCCCGUUGCGUAAUACCCUGUGGCGGACUGAGGUUCGCGCAUUCGCAAGGAUGCUGGCGUAAUGGUCAUCAGUGACCCGUCUUGAAACACGGACCAAGGAGUCGUCUUCGUAUGCGAGUGUUCGGGUGUCAAACCCCUACGCGAAAUGAAAGUGAACGCAGGUGAGAGCUUCGGCGCAUCAUCGACCGAUCCUGAUGUUAUCGGAUGGAUUUGAGUAAGAGCAUACGGGGCCGGACCCGAAAGAAGGUGAACUAUGCCUGUGUAGGGUGAAGCCAGAGGAAACUCUGGUGGAGGCUCGCAGCGGUUCUGACGUGCAAAUCGAUCGUCAAACAUGGGCAUG
rnacentral:rRNA from 1 species